UGAGUUUGAUCAUGGCUCNGAACGUACGCUGGCGGCACGCCUAAUACAUGCAAGUCGAACGGGGUAGCAAUACCUAGUGGCAGACGGGUGAGUAACAUGUGGGUACCUUCCCUUUGGUGAGGAAUAACACGAGGAAACUUGUGCUAAUACCUCAUAAGUCUUUACGGAGAAAGCUUUAUGCGCCAAUGGAUGGGCCCGCACUUGAUUAGUUAGUUGGUAAGGUAAUGGCUUACCAAGACUUUGAUCAAUAGCUGAUUUGAGAGGAUGAUCAGCCACAUUGGGACUGAGACACGGCCCAAACUCCUACGGGAGGCAGCAGUAGGGAAUCUUGCACAAUGGAGGAAACUCUGAUGCAGCGAUGCCGCGUGAGUGAAGAAGGCCUUUGGGUUGUAAAGCUCUUUCGUCGGGGAAGAAGAUGACUGUACCCGAAUAAGAAGGUCCGGCUAACUUCGUGCCAGCAGCCGCGGUAAUACGAAGGGACCUAGCGUNNNUCGGAAUUACUGGGCUUAAAGAGUUCGUAGGUGGUUAAAAAAGUUGGUGGUGAAAUCCCAGAGCUUAACUCUGGAACUGCCAUCAAAACUUUUUAGC
rnacentral:rRNA from 1 species